GCACGCGAGGGACACCGCCCGGUCGCCUCCGCCCGGCCGCGCGCGAGGGAGGGAGGCGAGCCCGCUCCGAAGUCCCGGUGCUCCGGCCUCCUCCGCCACGCCCGCUCCGAAGUCUGGAGCGCGAGUGGGCCGCGGCAUCCUCUGCCUGGCUAUGAGCACCGCCCAGUCGCACGCGAGGGAGGGAGGCGAGGUGGUGGGUGGAAGUCUGGAAGAAGAUAAGGUAGAGAAAAAAAUAAAAAUAAAAGAAAUAGGUGAGAGAUUGACGGGUGGGGUCCACUGGUGGUAAGUGAGAUCAUCGCUAACGGUGUUAUCAUGACAUCCAAUCCAUGUUUCUAAUUUCUUCAUCAAACACGGGACGGGUUGACUCCAACCCAAAAAAUCAAAGGUACAACCAAACACUAGACGGGUUGGC
rnacentral:lncRNA from 1 species